rnacentral:tRNA from 1 species
AGUUUAAUAAUCUAAGAUAAGAUAAAAAAUUGUAAAUUUUUUUAUGAAUAAAAAUUCUUAAACGA